rnacentral:rRNA from 1 species
ACUCCUACGGGAGGCAGCAGUAGGGAAUCUUCCACAAUGGGCGCAAGCCUGAUGGAGCAACACCGCGUGAGUGAAGAAGGGUUUCAGCUCGUAAAGCUCUGUUGUUAAAGAAGAACACGUAUGAGAGUAACUGUUCAUACGUUGACGGUAUUUAACCAGAAAGUCACGGCUAACUACGUGCCAGCAGCCGCGGUAAUACGUAGGUGGCAAGCGUUAUCCGGAUUUAUUGGGCGUAAAGAGAGUGCAGGCGGUUUUCUAAGUCUGAUGUGAAAGCCUUCGGCUUAACCGGAGAAGUGCAUCGGAAACUGGAUAACUUGAGUGCAGAAGAGGGUAGUGGAACUCCAUGUGUAGCGGUGGAAUGCGUAGAUAUAUGGAAGAACACCAGUGGCGAAGGCGGCUACCUGGUCUGCAACUGACGCUGAGACUCGAAAGCAUGGGUAGCGAACAGGAUUAGAUACCCUGGUAGGAUAGCG